rnacentral:rRNA from 1 species
UACGGGGGGAGCAAGCGUUGUUCGGAUUUACUGGGCGUAAAGGGCGCGUAGGCGGCGUGACAAGUCACUUGUGAAAUCUCCGGGCUUAACCCGGAGCGGCCAAGUGAUACUGUCGUGCUAGAGUGCAGAAGGGGCAACUGGAAUUCUCGGUGUAGCGGUGAAAUGCGUAGAUAUCGAGAGGAACACCUGCGGCGAAGGCGGGUUGCUGGGCUGACACUGACGCUGAGGCGCGAAAGCUAGGGGAGCGAACGGG